rnacentral:misc_RNA from 1 species
UUGUAUUACUUGUUCUUAUUUCAUCUUGUUGUAUCAUACAGAAAUCUAAUUAAUUUAAGGAAAGAAACUCAAUCCAGAUUGAACACAGUUCUGAAAUCUCAAGCCAUUCAAUUGAUCAUAUUCAUACCUAAAGUACAUGAAAGAAGCAGCCAAACCCAAAUUAUUUUUGAUAUACGCAGAGAAGCCAAACCUAAAUCGGAAAAAUCCCUCACAAUCAACCAGUCUCUAGCUAGCACUGCUCCUCAGCUAAGGACCCAUUACCAACAUUCUUUGUCUGCAAACCAGAUUUAAUGUUGGUAUUGCUAGGCUUAUACCACAAAGCACAAAUAAGAAAACCACAAAAUUCAUAACUCCAAGUAUGGCAAGAAGGCCAUAGAAGCAAUCAAGCCUCCCAGAGUUUAUCUUAUCAGCUAACCAUCCCUGGCCACCGUCGCUUCCUGUCACCCUCUUCACAACCAUGACCAAGAAGCUACUAACGAAGAAACCAAGUGACAGAGUUGUCAGGAAGAGACCGGUACUGACAGUUUUCAUUCCUUUGGGAGAUUGGGUUAUGAAGAAAUCGAGCUGCCCAGUGUAUAUGAAAGCUUCACCUGAACCCACCAAGAAAAAUUGUGGUAUCAGUAAGAACACGCUCAAGGGCAGAGUUGAAGUGUUGCCACCCUCAGCUUUGGCUACUGAUAAACGUUUUCUCUCGACUAAUGCUGCUGCUGCCAUUCCUAAAGUUGACAAAACUAGGCCAAUGCCUAUUCUCUGCAGAUUACUGAAACCUGGUUUUCCUUUCCAUUUCUUCCAAAAAGGCAUGAUCAAACGAUCAUAGACUGCCAGUGUAACUAAAAUAGCAGCCACAAAGAAGACCGUGAGAGAGCCAGCCGGAAUUUGAAAACUUCCAAUUGAUCUUUCCAUAGUGGAUGCUUGCUCAACUGAGAAUGUGAUCAUCUGGGCAUAUGUGGUCCAGAAAAUGAUGGUUGUGGCCCAGAUUGGCAAUAUUCUCACCAUCAUUUUCACUUCCUCCACCCUCGUCACCGAGCAUAGCUUCCAUGAAUUUGGAGCAGAACCACUAUUUUCGAAAUCUCCAUCUGCAACUAUGGCCGCCUUAUCCAAGAAGUGGAAUUGAUCGGUAUGCUGGAUUCUUGAGGCCUCUGGGGUGUUCUCAUAGAGUGAGCUAAUAUUGUAAGGGAGGUUCAUCUUCCUCUUUCUUGUGGCAGCUACAAUAACCUGGAAAAUGUGCACUAUGGGGCUUCCCAAGCUCUUCUUGUACCUAUAUCUUUUAUUCCCAGAAAAGAAUAUGAAGACGGCUAUAAACAUAGCCACAGUACAAAUCCCAUAAGCCCAGCUGCGACCAACUUCAUCUUCUAUAUAAACAAGCACUGUAACAGCCAACAAUGUUCCCAUGCUAAUGAAGAAGAAGAACCUGUGGAAGAAAUAGUCCAUCUGGGCUUUCUCCUUUUCGUCUUUCUCAUCGAAUUGGUCGGUUCCAAAUCCUGAAACACUUGAUUUUAGGCCUCCAGUUCCUAGUGCAAUUAGAUAUAAAGCCAUGUAUAAAAUUCCCAUUUGGAAUCCAUUUGCUUGUACGCAUGAAUGGUUGGUGUGACAAGGAGGUGGACGCAGCUGGGGUAGCUUAGUUACGAUAGCUAGCAUUCCAGUACCCAGUGCUUGUAUAACGGCAAAUAUUGCAAUAGUUUUGUAUCUGCCUAGGAAAGAAUCAGCAAGAAAUCCUCCAAGCAAACACAAGAGAAAAGAAGCGCCCAUAAAGUCUGUCACCAUAUUGGCUGAAGUUGCACUACCCAGAUGCAGCGUUCCAAUCAAAUAUGUGACCAGGUUAACUGCUAUUCCCAUUGUUGAAAGCCUCUCGCAUACUUCGAUCCCUAGAACAAGUGCAGCAGGGAUCCAUCCACCAGUUUUAGAUCUGUCCGCAGGCAAACCAUUGUAGUCCACGGCAUCAGCAACAGUCCAACUCAUCUUCCCAUCCAUGAUUCAACUUUGAAUGGAAAAGGAAAGAAAGAAAGAAA